UACAGAGGGGGCAAGCGUUGCUCGGAAUCACUGGGCGUAAAGGGCGCGUAGGCGGGGAGGUAAGUCGGGUGUGAAAUCCCUCGGCCCAACCGAGGAACUGCGCCCGAGACUGCUUCUCUUGAGUCCCGGAGAGGAAGAUGGAAUUCCCGGUGUAGCGGUGAAAUGUGUAGAGAUCGGGAGGAACACCGGUGGCGAAGGCGGUCUUCUGGACGGUGACUGACGCUGAGGCGCGAAAGCGUGGGGAGCAAACGGG
rnacentral:rRNA from 1 species